rnacentral:rRNA from 1 species
UACGUAGGGACCGAGCGUUGUCCGGAUUCAUUGGGCGUAAAGAGCUCGUAGGCGGCCACUCAAGUCGAAUGCGAAACCUCGAGGCUCAACCUCGAGCCUGCAUUCGAUACUGGGCGGCUAGAGUCUGGUAGGGGGAUCUGGAAUUCCUGGUGUAGCGGUGGAAUGCGCAGAUAUCAGGAGGAACACCGGUGGCGAAGGCGGGAUCCUGGGCCAGUACUGACGCUGAGGAGCGAAAGCGUGGGGAGCAAACAGG